AAAGAUUAAGCCAUGCAUGUCUAAGUACGAGCCUUCCUUAGUGUGAAACCGCGAACGGCUCAUUAAAUCAGUCAUAAUCCAUUGGAUGCAGUUCAUCCCUACUCGGAUAACUGUGGCAAUUCUAGAGCUAAUACGUGCACUUGAGCUCCGACGCCGAGGGGGUCGGCUCCUUCGGGAGCCUCCCUCUCGGGGGAAGGGCGCAGUUAUUAGAAUCAUAAACCGAGGCGGGCUCUCGAGUCCGAAACCUCUCGGCUAUGGUGACUCUGGAUAACGGUUGCCAAGCGCUCAGGCCCUCGAGCCGGCGCUGCAUCUUUUCGAGUGACUGCCCUAUCAGCUUUCGAUCGUAGGAUCGGGGCCUACGAUGGCUGUAACGGGUAACGGGGAAUCAGGGUUCGAUUCCGGAGAGGGAGCCUGAGAAACGGCUACCACAUCUAAGGAAGGCAGCAGGCACGCAAAUUACCCAAUCCCGGUUCGGGGAGGUAGUGACGAUAAAUACCGAUGCGGGACUCAUCCGAGGCCUCGCAAUCGGAAUGAGCUCACCUUAAAAAAGUGGGCGAGGAUCGAUUGGAGGGCAAGUCUGGUGCCAGCAGCCGCGGUAAUUCCAGCUCCAAUAGCGUAUAUUAAAGUUGUUGGCGGUUAANNNNNNNNNNNNUCAAAGCAGGCNUAAAGCUCUUUACGCCUGAAUAGUAAUGCAUUGAAUGAUGGAACAGGACCUCGGUUCUGACUUAUUUUUUUCUCGGUUUUUCCCGAACCCGAGGUAAUGAUUAACGGGAACGGUCGGGGGCAUUAGUAUUGCGACGCGAGGGGUGAAAUCCAGUGACCGUCGCAAGACUACCUACUGCGAAAGCAUUUGCCAAGAACGCUUUCAUUAAUCAAGAACGAAAGUUAGAGGAUCGAAGGCGAUCAGAUACCGCCCUAGUUCUAACUAUAAACGAUGCCAACUAGCGAUCCGCGUACAGUCAUUCCCAAGACUGCGCGGGAAGCCCCCGGGAAACCUAAGUCUUUGGGUUCCGGGGGUAGUAUGGUUGCAAAGCUGAAACUUAAAGGAAUUGACGGAAGGGCACCACCAGGAGUGGAGCCUGCGGCUUAAUUUGACUCAACACGGGAAACCUCACCAGGCCCGGACACCGGAAGGAUUGACAGAUUGAGAGCUCUUUCUCGAUUCGGUGGUUGGUGGUGCAUGGCCGUUCUUAGUUGGUGGAGCGAUUUGUCUGGUUAAUUCCGAUAACGAACAAGACUCUGUCCUACUAACUAGUCGACGGAUCGUUUCCCGAGGAGGGUUUUCCCCCUACGGGCGAGCGGUUCGCUCGGCGGCUCGGCGGGCUUCGCCCCGGUUCGUCCCUGGCGGUGUCGUCGCGGCGGUCUCUUCGCCCCUUCUCCUUAUCCUCUUCCUCCCUUCGGGGCGGAGGGGGUGAGGGUUGGGGGUUUUCUCUCGCUUCUCCGACGCCCCGCUACACGGGUCGGGACGGGCCCAUUCGCCCGAGUCGUCCGCGGCUUAGCCGUUCGCUCAAGGGGUCCCAACGAGGGGCGUCCGUCGUAUAAAAUCUUCUUAGAGGGACCGGCGGUCUCGAACCGUACGAGAAAGAGCAAUAACAGGUCUGUGAUGCCCUUAGAUGUCCUGGGCCGCACGCGUGCUACAAUGGAGGGAGCAGCGUGCUUUCCCCCUCCGAGAGGAGUGGGUAACCCCUUGAAACCCCUUCCCGAUUGGGAUUGGGGGUUGCAAUGGUUGCCCAUAAACGAGGAAUCCCUUGUAAGCGCGAGUCAUAAGCUCGCGAUGAAUACGUCCCUGCCCUUUGUACACACCGCCCGUCGCUACUACCGAUGAACGAUUAAGUGAGAGCGUCGGACCGGCGCCCUCGGCAGCCCUCGGCUCGAAAACCGGACCGGAGAGGUAGCUCCCUCCCUUCGCGGAGGCGAAGGACCCUCUUCCGGACCCGGCGUGACCGAGUAAGCGCCCCGGGCUUCGCCGGAAAGACGUCCGAACUUGAUCGUUUAGAGGAAGUAAAAGUCGUAACAAGGUAUCUGUAGGUGAACCU
rnacentral:rRNA from 1 species